UACGUAGGGUGCAAGCGUUGUCCGGAAUUAUUGGGCGUAAAGAGCGUGUAGGCGGCCAGGUAGGUCCGUUGUGAAAACUCGAGGCUCAACCUCGAGACGUCGGCGGAAACCCUCUGGCUAGAGUCCGGAAGAGGAGAGUGGAAUUCCUGGUGUAGCGGUGAAAUGCGCAGAUAUCAGGAAGAACACCCGUGGCGAAGGCGGCUCUCUGGGACGGUACUGACGCUGAGACGCGAAAGCGUGGGGAGCAAACAGG
rnacentral:rRNA from 1 species